rnacentral:hammerhead_ribozyme from 1 species
CUCACACUGAAGAAUCCUAAAUAGGACGAAACGCGCGUCCUGGAU